AAAUGACUCUCGGCAAUGGAUAUCUCGGCUCUUGCAUCGAUGAAGAACGUAGUGAAAUGCGAUACUUGGUGUGAAUUGCAGAAUCUCGUGAACCAUUGAGUCUUUGAACGCAAGUUGUGCCCGAGGCCUUGUGGUCGAGGGCACGCCUGCUUGGGCGUCAUGG
rnacentral:rRNA from 1 species